AGUGAACGCUGGCGGUAGGCCUAACACAUGCAAGUCGAACGGCAGCACAGGAGAGCUUGCUCUCUGGGUGGCGAGUGGCGGACGGGUGAGGAAUACAUCGGAAUCUACUCUGUCGUGGGGGAUAACGUAGGGAACCUUACGCUAAUACCGCAUACGACCUACGGGUGAAAGCAGGGGACCUUCGGGCCUUGCGCGAUUGAAUGAGCCGAUGUCGGAUUCGCUCGUUGGCGGGGUAAAGGCCCACCAAGGCGACGAUCCGUAGCUGGGCUGAGAGGAUGAUCAGCCACACUGGAACUGAGACACGGUCCAGACUCCGACGGGAGGCAGCAGUGGGGAAUAUUGGACAAUGGGCGCAAGCCUGAUCCAGCCAUACCGCGUGGGUGAAGAAGGCCUUCGGGUUGUAAAGCCCUUUUGUUGGGAAAGAAAUCCAGCUGGCUAAUACCCGGUUGGGAUGACGGUACCCAAAGAAUAAGCACCGGCUAACUUCGUGCCAGCAGCCGCCGUAA
rnacentral:rRNA from 1 species